GGAGGUCUUUGUGUCGCUAAGUCGUUAAAUAUAUAUCUUAUAUGUCAAACAUGGUAUUGUAGUACAAGUUCUAUAGCAGUGUAGUAUUUAGUGGUGUUUUUUCGGAGAUUCUUGUGCGCACAUUUUGGUUUAAGUCCUGUUUGUUAGGUUGAUGGUUUCUUUUGGAUGGUAAGGUUGUAAAGGCUUAAAAGCCUAUUUUAACUUUAAACAAAACAAAACAGGUACCGUGACUGAACGCUUAGACAAUUUACUCAGUUGCCAAAGGAUUAAGAAAGAGAUUGAUCGCCUUACAAAAAAAAAAAAAAGAAGAAGAAAGAGAUUGAUCUGACUCCGUCUCCCAAGGUCAUCUCAAUUCCUGUCCACUUCGUCGACUCAAAAUAACCGAGUUAAUUAACAACGAUCUAUGAUAAACAAUUGAAGUCCUCGGACACCAUCAUCCGCUUCUCUGCCGCCGCCGGCAUCAGCUCCUCCGGCGACUCUCCGGCCGAAAUUUCCGCGGCUUGCUCCGCUUCGGCAAUCUCUUGCUCUCCCUCUCUCUCGCUGGGAUCUCUAUCUGUUGUUUUGUAGUUCAGGAUAAAAGUAGGAUUCGAUGUUAGGAUCGCUGCUAUUCUUCUUACUCAAUUUUGAUCGGAGCGGUUGUGUGUCAGCGGUGGCGGCGAUGACGGGGCGUUUAUUGUGCCUUUUAAUUGAGGACAUUAAUUGUGCCUCAAUUGAGAGCGUAAAUUGUGCCUCCUAAUUGAGUGUCUUAAUUGUGCCUCCUAAUUGAGGGCCUUAAUUGUGCCUUAAUUAAGGACAUUAAUAUUUUAUUAAUUGUGCCUUAAUUGAGAGCUUAAUUGUCUCAAUUAUGAGUUACAUGAUUGUGGGAAUUUUGAUAUAAAUUGUUAUAUAUAUAUAUAUAUAUAUAUAUAUAUAUCGACUUAUAUUAUUCUUGUU